GACGAACGCUGGCGGCGUGCUUAACACAUGCAAGUCGAACGGAAAGGGCCUGCUUUUGCGGGGUGCUCGAGGGGCGGAAGGGUGAGGAACACGGGAGUAACCUGGCCGUUACUUUGGGAUAACUUCAGGAAACUGGGGCUAAGACCGGAUAGGAGCUGCUGCUGCAUGGGGGGGGUCGGAAAGUUUCGGCGGCUGGGGCUGGACUCGCGGCUUAUUAGCUUGUUGGUGGGGGAGUGGCUUACCAAGGCUUUGACGGGUAGGCGGCCUGAGAGGGUGACCGGCGACCUUGGGCCUGCGAUACGGCCCAGACUCCUACGGGAGGCAGCAGUGGGGAGUCUUGCACAAUGGGCGGACGCCUGAUGCGGCGACGCCGCGUGCGGGAUGACGGCCUUCGGGUUGUAAACCGCUUUCGCCUGUGACCAAGCGUGAGUGACGGUAAUGGGUAAAGAAGCACCGGCUAACUACGUG
rnacentral:rRNA from 1 species